UACGAAGGGGGCUAGCGUUGCUCGGAAUCACUGGGCGUAAAGGGUGCGUAGGCGGGUCUUUAAGUCAGGGGUGAAAUCCUGGAGCUCAACUCCAGAACUGCCUUUGAUACUGAAGAUCUUGAGUUCGGGAGAGGUGAGUGGAACUGCGAGUGUAGAGGUGAAAUUCGUAGAUAUUAGGAAGAACACCGGUGGCGAAGGCGGCCCACUGGCUCGAUACUGACGCUGAGGAGCGAAAGCGUGGGGAGCAAACAGGG
rnacentral:rRNA from 1 species